rnacentral:rRNA from 1 species
CGGAGAAGCUCUUGAUCGAAGCCCCGGUAAACGGCGGCCGUAACUAUAACGGUCCUAAGGUAGCGAAAUUCCUUGUCGGGUAAGUUCCGACCUGCACGAAUGGCGUAAUGAUGGCCAGGCUGUCUCCACCCGAGACUCAGUGAAAUUGAACUCGCUGUGAAGAUGCAGUGUACCCGCGGCAAGACGGAAAGACCCCGUGAACCUUUACUAUAGCUUGACACUGAACACUGGUCCUUGAUGUGUAGGAUAGGUGGGAGGCUUUGAAGUGUGGACGCCAGUCUGCAUGGAGCCGUCCUUGAAAUACCACCCUUUAAUGGCUGGUGUUCUAACGUGGGCCCGUGAUCGGGGUUGCGGACAGUGUCUGGUGGGUAGUUUGACUGGGGCGGUCUCCUCCUAAAGAGUAACGGAGGAGCACGAAGGUCAGCUAAUCCUGGUCGGACAUCAGGAGGUUAGUGCAAUGGCAUAAGCUGGCUUGACUGCGAGCGUGACGGCGCGAGCAGGUGCGAAAGCAGGUCAUAGUGAUCCGGUGGUUCUGAAUGGAAGGGCCAUCGCUCAACGGAUAAAAGGUACUCCGGGGAUAACAGGCUGAUACCGCCCAAGAGUUCAUAUCGACGGCGGUGUUUGGCACCUCGAUGUCGGCUCAUCACAUCCUGGGGCUGAAGUAGGUCCCAAGGGUAUGGCUGUUCGCCAUUUAAAGUGGUACGCGAGCUGGGUUUAGAACGUCGUGAGACAGUUCGGUCCCUAUCUGCCGUGGGCGCUGGAGAAUUGAGGGGGGCUGCUCCUAGUACGAGAGGACCGGAGUGGACGCAUCACUGGUGUUCGGGUUGUCAUGCCAAUGGCAUUGCCCGGUAGCUAAAUGCGGAAGAGAUAAGUGCUGAAAGCAUCUAAGCACGAAACUUGCCCCGAGAUGAGUUCUCCCUGACUCCUUGAGAGUCCUGAAGGAACGUUGAAGACGACGACGUUGAUAGGCCGGGUGUGUAAGCGCAGCGAUGCGUUGAGCUAACCGGUACUAAUGAACCGUGAGGCUUAACCUU